rnacentral:rRNA from 1 species
CUACGGGCGGCUCCAGUGGGGAAUAUUGCACAAUGGGCGCAAGCCUGAUGCAGCCAUGCCGCGUGUAUGAAGAAGGCCUUCGGGUUGUAAAGUACUUUCAGCGGGGAGGAAGUGAGUAAAGUUAAUACCUUUGCUCAUUGACGUUACCCGCAGAAGAAGCACCGGCUAACUCCGUGCCAGCAGCCGCGGUAAUACGGAGGGUGCAAGCGUUAAUCGGAAUUACUGGGCGUAAAGCGCACGCAGGCGGUUUGUUAAGUCAGAUGUGAAAUCCCCGGGCUCAACCUGGGAACUGCAUCUGAUACUGGCAAGCUUGAGUCUCGUAGAGGGGGGUAGAAUUCCAGGUGUAGCGGUGAAAUGCGUAGAGAUCUGGAGGAAUACCGGUGGUGAAGGCGGCCCCCUGGACGAAGACUGACGCUCAGGUGCGAAAGCGUGGGGAGCAAACAGGAUUAGAUACCCGUGUAGUC